UUGAAGAGUUUGAUCAUGGCUCAGAUUGAACGCUGGCGGCAGGCCUAACACAUGCAAGUCGAACGGUAACAUUUCUAGCUUGCUAGAAGAUGACGAGUGGCGGACGGGUGAGUAAUGCUUGGGAACUUGCCUUUGCGAGGGGGAUAACAGUUGGAAACGACUGCUAAUACCGCAUAACGUCUUCGGACCAAACGGGGCUUCGGCUCCGGCGCAAAGAGAGGCCCAAGUGAGAUUAGCUAGUUGGUAAGGUAACGGCUUACCAAGGCGACGAUCUCUAGCUGUUCUGAGAGGAAGAUCAGCCACACUGGGACUGAGACACGGCCCAGACUCCUACGGGAGGCAGCAGUGGGGAAUAUUGCACAAUGGGGGAAACCCUGAUGCAGCCAUGCCGCGUGUGUGAAGAAGGCCUUCGGGUUGUAAAGCACUUUCAGUUGUGAGGAAAAGUUAGUAGUUAAUACCUGCUAGCCGUGACGUUAACAACAGAAGAAGCACCGGCUAACUCCGUGCCAGCAGCCGCGGUAAUACGGAGGGUGCAAGCGUUGUCCGGAUUUAUUGGGUUUAAAGGGUGCGUAGGCGGAUCUUUAAGUCAGUGGUGAAAUCCUGCAGCUUAACUGUAGAACUGCCAUUGAUACUGUAGAUCUUGAAUCAUUAUGAAGUGGUUAGAAUGUGUAGUGUAGCGGUGAAAUGCAUAGAUAUUACACAGAAUACCGAUUGCGAAGGCAGAUCACUAAUAAUGUAUUGACGCUGAUGGACGAAAGCGUAGGUAGCGAACAGGAUUAGAUACC
rnacentral:rRNA from 1 species